rnacentral:pre_miRNA from 13 species
GGAUCCUGUACUGAGCUGCCCUGAGGUCCUUGCUUGUGCCCAGCUCGGGGCAGCUUAGUACAGGAUGC